rnacentral:rRNA from 1 species
AAUAUGGCGCAAUGGAGGGAACUCUGACGCAGCGACGCCGCGUGAGCGAUGAAGGUCNNNGGAUCNUCAAGCUCUGUCCUUUGNGACNAAGAUCUUAGGAUUUGACGGUACCCAAGGAGGAAGCCCCGGCUAACUACGUGCCAGCAGCCGCGGUAAUACGUAGGGGGCGAGCGUUAUCCGGAAUUACUGGGCGUAAAGGGUGCGUAGGCGGCCUUUUAAGUCAGAUGUGAAAGGCUACGGCUUAACCGUAGUUAGCAUUUGAAACUAAAAGGCUUGAGUGCAGGAGAGGAGAGUGGAAUUCCUAGUGUAGCGGUGAAAUGCGUAGAUAUUAGGAGGAACACCAGUGGCGAAGGCGACUCUCUGGACUGCAACUGACGCUGAGGCACGAAAGCGUGGGGAGCGAAC